GACGAACGCUGGCGGCGUGCUUAACACAUGCAAGUCGAACGAGUGGCGAACGGGUGAGUAAUGUAUGGGGAUCUGCCCGAUAGAGGGGGAUAACUACUGGAAACGGAGCUAAUACCGCAUACUAUCGGAUGAACCCAUAUGGGAUUAGCUAGUUGGUGUGGUAAUGGCUCACCAAGGCGACGAGCCCUAGCUGGUCUGAGAGGACGACCAGCCACACUGUGACUGAGACACGGCCCAGACUCCUACGGGAGGCAGAAGUGGGGAAUUUUGUACAAUGGGGGAAACCCUGAUCCAGCCAUCCCGCGUGUAUGAUGAAGGCCUUCGGGUUGUAAAGUACUUUUGGCAGAGAAGCGGUAUGUGAAGAAUAAGCACCGGCUAACUACGUGCCAGCAGCCGCGGUAAUUG
rnacentral:rRNA from 1 species